rnacentral:rRNA from 1 species
CCUACGGGUGGCUGCAGUGGGGAAUUUUGGACAAUGGGGGCAACCCUGAUCCAGCCAUUCCGCGUGAGUGAAGAAGGCCUUCGGGUUGUAAAGCUCUUUCGGCAGGAACGAAACGGUGCGGGUUAAUACCCUGCAUCAAUGACGGUACCUGAAGAAGAAGCACCGGCUAACUACGUGCCAGCAGCCGCGGUAAUACGUAGGGUGCGAGCGUUAAUCGGAAUUACUGGGCGUGAAGCGCGCGCAGGCGGUUGAAAUCCCCGGGCUUAACCUGGGAACUGCGUUUGUGACUGCAAGCCUAGAGUGCGGCAGAGGGGGGUGGAAUUCCACGUGUAGCAGUGAAAUGCGUAGAGAUGUGGAGGAACACCGAUGGCGAAGGCAGCCCCCUGGGUCGACACUGACGCUCAUGCACGAAAGCGUGGGUAGCAAACAGGAUUAGAGACCCCGGUAGUC